rnacentral:lncRNA from 1 species
AGAGAAUAGAAGUCAAAGUGUCACGACACUAAAAUCGACCCGGUCGUGAUGACGCUUAUCGUGAAACUAGGUCAGCCAACAAAAUUCCUGAAUCAACCAUUAUUCAGUGAAAGUCAUUUUUAAGCCAUUAAUUAAUCAAUAAUCUCAUAAAGUAAGUCUAAAUGAACAGUGACGAAUAAAAACACAAGCCCAACAUCGGGGUGUCACAAGUUAAGAGCAUCUGCUAAGGCUUGAAUACAACGAAGAGUCUGAAAAUAUACUAAAAACAGUCUAAGGAAGACAAGAGGGAGAAGAGCAGGGCUGUGAACAUCGGACAUCUACCUUGCUAACUCCAAUGACUCUGCCACUGAGCAAUCAACAUCGCUAUCGGGUUCAGAAAUACUUGAAUCUGCACACAGGGUGUACGGAGUAAUGUGAAUACGCCAACUUAAUAAGUAAUAAAAGUAAAUGAAAGCUGAGCAGUAAGAAAACACGUAUGCCACGACAUAACGCUACAACAAAUGCAGUACAUUUCCAAAAUAGUACAAAAAUCAUUUACUUAAUAAAUCAAGCUUAGUUUUCGUAAAACCAUUUAAAACAACUUUCAACAGUUUCAAACGAGUGAUAAAAUAGUGAGUAAAAUUGAUAAAAACGUGAACAGUCCCUCGGGCAAAAUAUGUAUCAUAAACCACCCCUCGGGCAUAAUAUCAAAAGAACCAGCCCCUCAGGCUACCUCACAAUCACUCAUAAUCAGUACUUAGGGCAUAACAUGAAUCAAAAACCGCUCCUCGGGCCAAACAUGGAUCAAGAACAGCCCCUCGGGCAACAAUAUGAAACAACAAUAGCCCCUCGGGCUACAUCAUAUCACUCACACUGAGUACCCGCGCUCAUUGGGGGUGUACAAACUCCGGGAGGUCUCUUUAUAGCCCAAGCGCAAUAACAAGCCAUCUCGUGGAAUAAUUAAAUAGGCAUUCGGCCUCAUAACAACAAGCCACCUCGUGGCAUAAAUCAAUCAGGCCCUCGGCCUCACAAUAUCAUGAAUCAAUAACAACCUGUUGUAGCGUGCAACCCGGUCCCAUAAUAUCCUCACAACACCGGCCCUCAGCCUCGCUCAAUUAGAAACAUCACAAGACACUCGGACAACAGUAAACACAUGAUGCUCAGCCCCAAAAUAUCAUUUAAAAUAUAAAAACGAGUAAAUAUGGCUGAGUUAUGAAAAUAGUACAAUAUAGCAUGACUGAGUACAAAUAUAAAGUAAAAAUAGUGAGGAAUAAUAGUAAAAAUCCCCUAAGGGUCCAAAACAGUUGGCACGAAGCCCAAAUAUGGCAUUCAGCCAAAAAUAUGGUAAUAAUUUCCAAAACACAAUGAUAUCAAAUAGGUUGCAAUCAAAUACGCGACUUAACAGUCAUACGGGACGGACUAAGUCACAAUCCCCAAUGGUGCACGACCCCACGCUCGUCAUCUAGCGUGUGCAUCACCUCAAAGUAGCACAAUGAUGUGAAAUCCGGGGUUUCAUACUCUCAAGACAACAUUUAUAAUCAUUACUUACCUCAAACUGAUCCAAACUCUAGCCCGCGAUACCUUUGCCUCUUGAAUCGGGUUCCAAAUGCUCCAUAUCUAACUAAAAUGAAUAUAUUAUCAUCAACAUACACUAUAGGAACAAAGCCCAAGCAAAAAUUAUCAAAUUAUAUAAAAUAUUCUGAAAUUAGCCAAACCUGAUCCCCGGGCCCACGUCUCGGAAUCCGAUAAAAAAUAAAAAAUCCGACAACCCAUUCAACCACGAGUCCAACCAUAACAAAAAUACUAAAUUCUGAUAACAAUUCGGCCUCCAAAUCUUCAAAUCUUAUUUUCAAAUCUCUAGGUCCAAAUCCCAAUUUAAACCUCAAAAACAUGUAAUCUAGUCGGAUUAUUCGAUGAUAAUUCAAUAUUAUAGAGUAGAAAUGAUCACAAGUGACUUACCUCAAGAUUUCCCAUGAUUUCUCGCUCAAAAAUCGCCCCAAGCUGCGUUUUUUUCGUCCAAAAAUGUGGGAAUGAGCUAAAAAAACAAGACAUCUCAAUAAAACACGAUUCUAGUUGCUAAAAACCCCAUUCCAUCACUAAAAAGUGCCAAAUCUGGUCGCUAAAGUUGCACACCAGAUCCUGCUGCACCAGCAAUAUUUAUUUUCACUAAAAAGGCUCUAACUACACCAUACGAACUCGAAAUUCGAUGAUUCUUGUUACUAUGAUUUACAAAUAAUAGUACAAACAUAGCCCUUCAAUCGAAACUCAAUUCAGAGCUCAUUUGCACAGUGCGAUACCCAUUUUGCUCGAUAAACAAUUAACUUAUGUUUCGCAUCAAAAACCCAAUCGUGACUUGAUGAAAUUAGACCAAACUUUCCAAAUCACUCCGAUAAUUCAUUAUCAAAAUUUCGGAAGUCCCGAAAUCAAACUUCGAUCUCUAGAACUAAAAACAGACCUUUGGAUCAUUACAUGAUUAUGCCCAAAACGACAAAAAUCUUCCAAAAACUCUUCCAAAACUUAUCUGAGCCUCAUGGGACCCGACCAAAUAUGCCAACACACCCCAUAACAUCAUUCAAACUUGUUUCAACCUUCAUAACACUCAAAACAAUAUCAAAAUAUCGAAUCACUCUCGGAUUCAAGCCAAGAAUUCCAAAACAUCUGAAUUCCGAAUUAGAUCAAAAGGUCUAUCAAACCUCGUCCGAAUGACCUGAAAAUAUGCAUACACGUCACAAAUGGCACAAUGGACCUACUUCAAUUUCUGGAAUUCCAUUCCGACCCUGAUAUCAAAAUUUCCACUACUGACCGGAAAACGGCAAAUUUCCAAUUUCGUCAAUUCGAACCUAAAUCUAUCACAGACCUCCAAAAUACAUUCCGGACGCCCUCCCAAGUCCAAAAUCACCUAACGGAGCUAACCAAAUCAUAGAAAUCCAAAUCUGAGAUCGAAUACUAAAAAUUCAAAACUUGGUCAAACCUUUCAAAUUUAAAGCUUCAAGCUGAGAAUGGUUCUUCCAAAUCUAUUUUGAUUGUCCUGAAAACCAAAACCGACGAUUUACAUAGAUCAUAAUACAUCAUACGUGGCUAGUCAUGCCCGAGAACUGGCAAGUGAAGUGCAAAUGCUCAAAAUGACUAGUCGAAUCGUUACAUAAAGGAAUCUAUAAUUUUCCACCUACGCAAGAACAAAGCUAGUAAAUUAAAUCCUAUUCUCGCCAGCUUGUAUUGAAAAGCUAAUUACAAGAAAAAGGACAACCUAAUUUGGCUAAGUUAUGCUAAAAUAGUCAACAAUUCAUUAUGGUCUAAAUUCAAACUCAAGAUAACAAUGGUAGCAAUUUUAUCUAUAACAGAGUUUUCUAUCAAACACAACAACCAAACCAUCAUUUAGCAUGCUCUAAACAGUUUUCUAUCAAGAAAUAGAAAAGGUUUUGCUGCUAACCUUGUAAGAAACAUACUGGCAGCAAAUUAUAAUCUUAAAAUAAAUAAACCAACGAAUACAAAGGACCUUUGAUGGAACGUAUUGUCCAUAUAUGAUUUAUCAGUUCAUUUAUUACGAUCUACCAAAUAAUAGAUGUAAAAAUCAUUUUAGAGCAGCAUUAGCCAGUUAAUUAGCUUUUUCUUCAAGUUUUAUACACUUUGUAUGCAUAUGCAUCAUACAUACACAUCACACAAUAGAGAACACAUCAGUACAUAGCACCAAUAUUUAACCUUAAUAUAGAAAUAGAUGAAAAUUGACCUCAAAUAUUUCCUCUACGAGUCCAUAAGACAAAUAUGGCAACGGUUUGAGCUUUAAGGGAUUAAUGGAGGAUUUUGGAGUGUUCCUCGGCAAAAAUGGCAACGGUUUGAGCUGCGGUUUUCACGUUGUUUAGAGAUGGUUUUACAGCUUUCUCGAGGCUGUGUUGUUGCAUUUUUUAGCUAGAAAUUCUAGCUAGUUUUUGGUGAUAUUUGGGCGAUUUGAAGGAAGGUUUAGAGGUGGUUCCGGAAAUAGCUGAUCGUGGUUGUUUGGGCUGCUUCUCAGUUGGGAUUUUUUGUGCUUUUUUUGGGGUAGUUAGGAUGGCAGCUCAUAGAAGAUGAUGGGCGUGGCUGAAGUUUUUAGAAUGGAGUCCGUGAGAGCUGCUGGUUCUCUUUUUAGUUGAAGAAAGGUAGAAACAGCUGUACAUGGGGGGGUUCUCUAGGGUUCGUAUAAAAUGGGGAGAUGAAGGGGUCUUUAGGUUAGCGGGUAUGGGCUUAGGUAUUAUGGGCUAGGUCCGAAUUGUGUCCUAAAAUUGGGCUCUAAGACUCUUAAGAUUGUGGUCCAAAACCUUAGUUAACUCCCUUUAAGAUAAGAUAAAAAUACUACACAAUGCAAAAACUAAUUCUAAUUAAUUAAAUUAAACUAUCUUAAAAUAUUAAACUAUUUUUUUUAUUUUCAAGAUUAUAUUAAGAUAAAAAUAAGGUACUUUUUUGUAUUUUUAAUUUUAUGAAAGGUACAUAAACCCAAAGUAACUAGAUAAAAUAUCAAUUAGCUAAAUAGAAGAAAAUAUUUUUGUAAUUUUGUAUUGUUGUUAUAAAAUAAAGUAAAAUAGUUAAAACUAGUUGAAAUAACGAUAUUAGGCCUAAACAAAAUAUUUCAAAGCUAAUAUAUGUAAAAUCUUAGGGAGGGUCAAAAAUCACAUGUCUACAGCUGCCCCUCUUUGACUGGAAACACGAAGUGUUUUCAAACAAAGAACGACGAGACAUGUUUUUUGACGAGACAUGUUUUUAGAGAGACCAAAAGCUAAAAGAAAGGAGAAUGUGACCGAGUCCUGGUAUCUGAGCUGCCUACAUAUCCUUGGAUAUAAAGGAAUCAGGUUAUGUGUAGUUCAAAAGUAGGAACAGUGGUAGGGUGUACCGAGGUGGAGAGCCGAUUGAGGUGUCGUCGAGGUUCCAGUCCGCGAUUCCUGCCAUUACUUCAAAAAUAAAAGGAAAAAUUACAGUAAAAAUAAAAGAAAAAAUACAAAAUCCUAUCUACUUUUUGUCAUGCUCUUUCUUGAAUCUCCAUUUGCUCUUUCAAAAAAUUCACCCCGUUCUUCAGGUGGGCCUCCUACUAACUUGAAUUUGAAGAAAACUGGAAGUUGACCCUGGUCUUCAGCCGGGCAUCCUGCUGUUUUCCCUUGAAAUAAACUUGAACUUUGAGUAGACUUGAGUUUGAAAACCUUGUUCCUCAGACGGAUCGUGCUACUUCUUAUUUGAAUUAAAAAUUGCCCCUAUUCUCCAGGCGAGAUCCUGUUGUCUUUUACUUGAAUCUUGAAUACUGGAAGUUAACCCUGCUCUUCAGGGGGGAUCCUCCUGCUUGAUUUUGACUUGAACUUGAAAACUGAAAGUUGACUCUACUCUUCAGGAGGGCUCCUGAUGCCUCUCACUUGAUCUUGAAAACUGAAAGUUAAUCCCGUUCUUCAGGCGGGAUUCUCCUUAUGCCUCUUGAACUUGAAAUUGAAACCCCAACACUGACCCUGUUCUUCAAGUGUGCUCCUGAUGCCUCUGACUUGAACUUGUAAACUAAAAGUUGACCCUAUUCUUCAGGCGGGAUUCUCCUAAUGCUUCUCUAACUUGAAAUUGAAAACUUAACAUGUUCUUCAUGUGGGCUCCUGAUGCCUCCUUGACUUUAACAUGUAAACUAAAACGUGUCCCUGUUCUUCAGGCGGGCUCCUAACGCUUCUCUAACUUGCACUUGAAACCAAUUUCUGAAAUAUUGACCCUCGUUCUUCAGGUGGGAUCCUCCUGCUUGAUCUCGAACGAAAUUGAAAGUUGACCCCGUUCUUCAGGCGGGUUCUUGGUGCUUCUUUGACUUGGACCUAAAACCGAUUUCUGAAAUGUUUCCCUCGUUCUCCAGGUGGGUGCAUGCAAUUAAAAAUAACAAAACAAAUAAAAUUUUCUACCCUAGUUUUCACUAGGAAGGUUUGUGAGUUGUUAACGAUAAUGUAAAUUACUUAUGCUAUUGAUGAAAGAUGCAAGGAUGAGGGUAAAACUAAAAAUUCAACUAAGAUGUGCGUCUCCUAUGAGAGCGUUCUUAAGGAAAACUAUAAGCUAAGCUUGACUAAAUUAAAAAUUACCCCUAUUCUUCAGGCAGGACCCUAAACUCAAGAAAACUAAGGAUUGAAAACCUAAGAAAACUAACAGCUGACCCUAUUCUCUAGGUGGGACCCCUGAACUUUAAGAGAAACUAAAUAUUGAAAUCUUAAGGAAACUAACAAUUGAUCCUAUUCUCCAGGCGGGACCCCUAAACUAAAUCCUAAGCACUUAAGAAAAUUAAAAAUGGCCCUAUUCUCCGGGUAGGGCUCCUGAACUUAAGGAAAGCUAAAGAUUAACAACUUAAGAAAACUAAAAUUGACCUUAUUCUCCAGGCGAGACCCCUGAACUCAAGGAAAACUAAGACUAACAACUUAAAGGAACAAUAAAUGACCCUAUUCUCUAGGAGGGAUCCCUGAACUCAAGGAAAACUAAAGACUAACCACUUAAGGAAAGUAAAACUAACCCUAUUCUGCAGGCGGGACCUCUGAACUUAAGAAAAACUAAAAACUCUUCUGACUAGGGAGAAUGCCUAGGAGAUAAUGGUCAUCUCAACUAGGUGAACGCCUAGCAAGUAAAAACCUUCUCAAACAACCUUUGUGCUGCCCAAAUUUGGGCAUUGCACUUGAAAAAUUCAAGCAUCCAAGCAUUGAUUUGGACACAGUUUUCAUCUCUGUUUGAAGCAAAGAAAACUUGUGAGUUUAAACAUAGUGGUUGGUUUGAGGCCUUGACUUUGAGAGCGAUUGCCCCUUCACUUGCCAUGAUAACUUUGAUUUUAACUUGAAAGACCUUGCUUGUUUAUUGACUAACCACUUUUCCUGUCACCCUUAUCACAGAACAUACCUCUGAUCUGUUCAAACCCAAUACCCUCUAUCUGUUGUAUUGUGCUCAUAAAUUGACAUAUACCAAACCUUUGUAUUUCACAUAAAUCUCAAAGCUGGUAGAAGAUUUUAAAGUCAUUCUUACUUGUUCCGGCAAAAUAGACUCGAGAGGACUUAGACAAAGCAAGAAGAACAAAGUUAAGAGGACAACGAAAAGAGAUGAUAUCUAACAAGAAAAUCACCAAGUAGAAACUUAUCAAAUGUGGAUACCAACUCUAAUGACUGUGACAUGCAUUCUGGAUUAAGUGGCCUAAUCUGUCACGCAAGUCUAAUGUUCAACUCUUGUAGUAUCUCUAAGCCGUGAAACUAGGUUUCGAUGCUCUGAUUAUCCUAUCUGAAUCAUGGUCCUUAUUUGACUUGUAAUGCCCGAAGGGUUUUCACCAUCAAGCCUCUCUCAUUUCUUUCUAUCAACUCAAUGUCGCCUUAUGGUGUCUGUGAAGGUUUUCACCAAUAAGACUCUCUCGUUUUGUUCUGUUGUUCUUAUUUCUUCUAAUUCUGCAGAUGACAAGGCAUUAACCAUAGUAAAAACAUCAUAUGCUCCUGGCAUGUCUAGCUUGGCACUCUCAAAGAUUAUCUGGGAGGUAUUUUUUAGACUGUAAUGUGGCUUUUGGACAGGGUUAGAAAGAAAGGAUAUCAUAAAGGCAAAAAUAACUAAGACAACAUGGUUAAUUUAUUUACAACUUUUGGAAUCCAUUAUAAAAACUUUGCCCCAAUUUCUAAUACAAGGGAAUUUGAUUCUUUUUUUUUUCUUUUUUCUUUUUGAGAUGGAUUUUCUAAGAAAGANNNNNNNNNNNNNNNNNNNNNNUGUUUUUGAAAUAUUUUUUUAAUGAAGUUUCUAAAACAAACCUUAUAGGGCAUGAAUUUUUUUCUUUUUUUUCCCUUUUUUUAUGUGAUGACUCUAACUCGAUUCCAAAAGAGGGAGGUCAAGAAAAUUAGCAUAGGUUCAAAAGGGGUACCAAAUGGUAUAAAGUGUUUAGGUAGCUGAAAGAGGGCCUCCCAAUCCAUGAAAAUGCCAAGUACAACAUUUCUUUUGAAGCUUUGGCAUUGAUGUCACUGAUAGGCCUUCUACUUUUUUUAGUGACUUGUCAAGUACAGAACUCUUGUUGGGUGAUUUCAUCACAAUGUAUACCCUCCGUCUGUUUGGAGCAAAAUCCCUUGGCUUUAUCUUGUUACUUGAUAUGUACUUGAACUCAAAGUUGCUCACUUCAAAUUAUCCGGGAUGCACUGUCCUUUAACGAAUUCUUGUAAUCCUAUUAACUUCCCAAAUUAUCUGCCCUAUUUUUACACACUUCUGGCUUUAAAUGAUCUCAAAAUGUCCAAAUAUGUACGUAUUUCCCUCAAAUGUCCCUAUCAUCUUCAAAAUUAUUUCAUUGUUUCAUGAUUAAACUAACUUUUAAGACCAGGCCUAGAAUUAUGCAUACAUGUCAUGUCACUAGAGCCAACAUGAAAAGAACUAUAAAAGGAGAAGAGAACUAAACAAAAAAUGACUAGAAAUAAUAUAAAACAGAAAAUUGCAUUAGAGAGAUGGUGAGAAGGGUUUGAACAACAAGACAAGCAAAAUAAACUAGGGUUACAACCCUGGAACAGACCUAGAGAACACUAAACGAGUUACUACGACUAAACAAACUAGCAAAACAAAAGGAUAGAAGGGUUUGAUUCCCAAGACAAUAUCUGGAUUACAACCCUAAAAUAACCCGGACAACAGAAAUAACAACAAAAUAAACCACCAGGACUCCCCCUGGCUAGCCAAGAAAGGAACAUCUUUCCAAUUACCAAGCUUGACAUCUUAGCCACUGAGCUCCACAUCAAUAUUACCAAGACCUUCACAAGUCUUCAUCACAUUGACCUUAGCAAAUUGCUUUUGGAUCCCUUUUACCGGCUCGUUCUUUAGAUCAACUGCCAGAACCGAGAGUGCUAAAAGCUUUGCGGCAAGUGGCCCUCUGAGGAUCUCAGAAGAGUUCUCAUAUUCCUUUUCAACACAAAUCAUACCCACCAUAUACGUCUCAUUAUGAACAGGCGAUGGACUUUGGCUAGUGUCUAGUGCAUCUGGAUUUUGCACAACAAUGUCACCUACCUCAAUAAGCUUAUGAACUGCUCUUUUCAGAUGCCAACACUUUUCUAUGCUGUGAGCCGGGGCAUUAGAGCAAUAUGCGCACCUUUGAGAAUAAUCAAAAUUCUAUGGAAGGAGGUUCGAAAUUUUUAUCUGAAUUGGCUUCAACAUGUCUAAUUGCCUCAACCUUUGGAACAAACUAGCAUAUGAUUCUCCAAUAGGAGUGAAAGUCUUUUCUUUUUCCUGUUGCCUUUUCAUUUUGUACUCUAACCUCAGCUGGAACCUUUUGCGGGUAGGUGGUUGCUAUGCUUGAGGAGGUGGGUAAGACAUUUGCGGAAGUGGUGCAGACCAUCGCGGGUCCUGUAGAUGUGGAGCAUAUGGUUGUGCAUUAUGGAUGGAGUACUGGGAAGGUGAGGUAUGACUUUGGGGAUUUUAUGGAGAGAAGUAGCAUUGGGGAGGAUUAUCUGGAGCACAAGGAUAUCCAUGGGGUCGAUAUUGAGGCUGAAAGCGUUGAGCAGGAAUGCCCACUGGAUCAUGUCGUUGGCGGGGCUCAACAACAUCUUUUCUAUUUCUUUUCUUUCCACCCAAACUUACUGAGAUGUUCUGAAUGUCUUCUGUAGUAUCUUUCAAAGCAGAAUAGCUCCUGAUUUUGCGUGACUUGAUUCCCUCUUCUACCAUCUCCCCUAUUUUUACCACAUCAUUGAAAGGUUUACCCAAGGCUAGGAUCAAAUAACUGAAGUAGGUGGGGCCAUGUGCCUAUAGAAAAAGCUCAACCAUUUCUUCUUCACCAAUCGGGGGACUGACCCGAGCAGCUUGUUCCCUCCAUAUGAGCCCAAACUUCCUAAAACUUUCUUCGAGUUUCUUUUCCAUCUUAGAUAGGGAGGAGCGGUCUGGGAUAAUAUCUAGAUUGUACUGAAAGUGUCGAACAAAAUCUUGAGUCAUGUCAUCCCAUGCAUGCCACUUACUAACAUCUUGACGGGUAUACCAUUCCAAGGCUGCCCCAGUCAAGCUCUCACUGUAAUUUUCCACUUACGCAAAAACAAAGCUAGUAAAUUUAAUCCUAUUCUCGCCAGCUCGUAUUGAAAUGCUAAUUACCAGAAAAAGACAACCCAAUUUGGCCAAGUUAUGAUAAAAUAGUCAACAAUUAAUAAUGGUAUAAAUUCAAACUCAAGAUAACAAUGGUAGCAAUUUUAUGUAUAACAGAAUUUUUUAUCAAACACAACAACCAAACCAUCACUUAUCAUGCUCUAAACAGUUUUCUGUCAAGAAAUAGAAAAGGUUUUGCUGGUAACCUUGUAAGAAACAUACUGGCAGCAAAUUAUAAUUUUAAAAUAAAUAAACCAACAAAUACAAAGGACCUUUGAUGGAACAUAUUGUCCAUAUACGAUUUAUCAGUUCAUUUGUUACGGUCUACCAUAUAAUAAGAUGUAAAAAUCAUUUUAGAGCAGCAUUAGCCAGUUAAUUAGCUUUUUCUUCAAUUAGUAUACACUCUGGAUGCAUACGCAUCAUGCAUACACAUCACACAAUAGAGAACACAUCAGUACACAACACCGAUAUUUAAUCUUAAUAUAGAAAGAGAUGAAAAUUGACCUCAAAUAUUUCCUCUACAAGUCCAUAAGACAAAUAUGUCAAGCCCCUAACCGAAACUCGACACAGCGAUUUGAGCUGCUGUUUUCACGUUGUUUAGAGAUGGUUUUACAUCUUUCUCGAGGCUGUGUUGUUGCGUUUUUUAGCUGGAAAUUCUAGAUAAUUUUUUUUGGUGAUGUUUGGGCGAUUUGAAGGAAGGUUUAGAGGUGGUUCCGGAAAUAGCUGAUCGUGGUUGUUUGGGCUGCUUCUCAGUUGGGAUUUUUUGUGCUUUUUUUGGGGUAGUUAGGAUGGCAGCUCAUAGAAGAUGAUGGGCGUGGCUGAAGUUUUUAGAAUGGAGUCCGUGAGAGCUGCUGGUUCUCUUUUUAGUUGAAGAAAGGUAGAAACAGCUGUACAUGGGGGGGUUCU